rnacentral:rRNA from 1 species
UAGCGGCAGGCCUAACACAUGCAAGUCGAGGGGUAACAUUGGUGCUUGCACCAGAUGACGACCGGCGCACGGGUGCGUAACGCGUAUACAAUCUACCUUUUGCUAAGGGAUAGCCCAGAGAAAUUUGGAUUAAUACCUUAUAGUAUGCAGACUUCUCAUGGAGAUUGCAUUAAAGAUUACGGCAAAAGAUGAGUAUGCGUCCUAUUAGUUUGUUGGUGUGGUAACGGCACACCAAGACUACGAUAGGUAGGGGCCCUGAGAGGGGGAUCCCCCACACUGGUACUGAGACACGGACCAGACUCCUACGGGAGGCAGCAGUGAGGAAUAUUGGACAAUGGAGGCAACUCUGAUCCAGCCAUGCCGCGUGCAGGAAGACUGCCCUAUGGGUUGUAAACUGCUUUUAUACAGGAAGAAACACUCCCUCGUGAGGGAGCUUGACGGUACUGUAAGAAUAAGGAUCGGCUAACUCCGUGCCAGCAGCCGCGGUAAUACGGAGGAUCCAAGCGUUAUCCGGAAUCAUUGGGUUUAAAGGGUCCGUAGGUGGAUAAUUAAGUCAGAGGUGAAAGUUUGCAGCUCAACUGUAAAAUUGCCUUUGAUACUGGUUAUCUUGAGUUAUUGUGAAGUAGUUAGAAUAUGUAGUGUAGCGGUGAAAUGCAUAGAUAUUACAUAGAAUACCAAUUGCGAAGGCAGAUUACUAACAAUAUACUGACACUGAUGGACGAAAGCGUGGGUAGCGAACAGGAUUAGAUACCCUGGUAGUCCACGCCGUAAACGAUGGAUACUAGCUGUUGGGCUUCGGCUCAGUGGCUAAGCGAAAGUGAUAA